AUGGAGAGGGGGGAGGACCCCGUGGCCUUUGCGAGGAAAGCGCCGCCAGCAGCGCCAACCAGAGCGGGCCAAGGCGGCCAAUCGUCAGCGGCGCCAGAGGGGCCGACCGGGGGUGAGCCGGGGAACAGAGCCGGCCUCGAGGUGCAGCCGGCGACGGGCCGGCGCGCAGGGGGAGGCGCCGCUCCACCGGAGUUGCGCCGAGUCGCGGGCGCAGGCCAGUCGGCUGAAGAUCUGGAGGCGGCCAGCACCGCCACGUCCGAGUGGACUCCCAGCGGGGGGACUGGCGAGCUGAAUGUGGCGGCUCAAGGGGUCCGGAGCCGGCUGCAAGCUCAGGCCGCCCUGCUGCAACAGUUUACCCAGGAGUUCCUGUCGACGCGAGCCACCAUCCGGGAAUAUCACAACCUCCGUGCUGCCGCCUUCAAGUCCCAGGCUUGGGAGUUGAGCCGGAGGACUGAAGACCUGGCUGACAGCCAAAGGGCCAACGCCGACUUGAGGAAGGAGCUCGGCGAAGCAAAGGCCGCCCUUCAUACCAAGGAUGCCGAGUACGCUGCCUUGGUCCAGGAGCGUGAUCGCCUGGCCAAGAAGCUGGCCGACCAGGAUAAGAGCCACAAGGCGGCCCUACAGGCGGCGCAGGAUAGUGAAGCCGCCCUGAAGGCAGAGUAUGAGACCGAGGCGGCGAGCUGGGCUGAGACCCGGCGAGCCCUGAAUGAAGGCUUCGGCCGGAUCGAGGAUUUGAUCAACGACUACUUCCUCGGCUACUCCGCCUUUGCCGCCCAAAGCGUCGAGGCCCAUCGCGAGGCGCGCCGUCAAGCGGGGGCCAACAUCGCGCCGGAUGCGAACCGGACGCUUGAGGAGCAGCUCUUGGCUGUCCAGGCGCGGUUGCAGCCGGCUCAUCGGAUGCUUCGCCGGCUCCAACGUGCCGGGGCGCAAGUGUUGGCUGCCCUCUGGCCCGGUGAGACGAUCCCCGCACCCCAAGCCGGACUGCCGACUGGCUGGAGGUCGCAGUUGGUCGCUUUGAGGCUUGGAAGGCGUCGGCGGCCCGCCUCGGAACCGGGCGGGCGUUGGAGUUCGUUCGGGCUUGGUACCCAGGGCUGA
rnacentral:rRNA from 1 species